CAGAGCUUGUGCCAUCUGGACCUUGAU
rnacentral:piRNA from 1 species